CCUACGGGGGGCAGCAGUGGGGAAUAUUGGGCAAUGGGCGCAAGCCUGACCCAGCGACGCCGCGUGAAGGAAGAAAGCUUUCGGGUUGUAAACUUCUUUUAAGAGGGAAGAGCGGAAGACGGUACCUCUUGAAUAAGCCACGGCUAACUACGUGCCAGCAGCCUCGGAAAUACGUAGGUGGCAAGCGUGGUCCGGAUGGACGGGGUGGAAAGGGAGUGUAGCCGGGCUGACAAGUCAGAUGUGAAAUUCCGGGGCUGAACCCCGGACCUGCAUUUGAAACUGUUGGUCUUGAGUAUCGGAGAGGCAGGCGGAAUUCCUAGGGUAGCGGUGAAAUGCGUAGAUAUGAGGAGG
rnacentral:rRNA from 1 species